GCGAACGCAGGGACAUCUGUGUGCGGAAUGACUGUGCCUACUCGAACCUGCCAAUCGCUCCUGGCACGAGCUGGGUCUCCUCUCAUCUCUUCCCUGUCUUGUCCUUCCAUCUGGAGAAAUGUCUGGUUUCAGCACCACGGACAGAGACACAGGGUGCGUUUGUCUAAACCCCGAACUUCAGGCCGAGAUCUUUGCAAGAGAUGAAGAAGAGUGGCUAAUUGGGAUGAGAAUCCAUGUUUGUUGGGGCACCUG